rnacentral:rRNA from 1 species
CCUACGGUGGGCAGCAGUAGGGAAUUUUCGUCAAUGGGCGCAAGCCUGAACGAGCAAUGCCGCGUGAACGAGGAAGGUCUUCGGAUCGUAAAGUUCUGUUGAAGGGGAAAAAGAGCGGAGAGAGGAAAUGCUUUCUGAUUGAUAUUACCCUUCGAGGAAGUCACGGCUAACUACGUGCCAGCAGCCGCGGUAAUACGUAGGUGGCGAGCGUUAUCCGGAAUGAUUGGGCGUAAAGGGUGCGUAGGCGGCCUGCUAAGUCUGGAGUGAAAGGUACCGGCUCAACCGGUACAGGCUCUGGAAACUGGCGGGCUAGAGAGCAGGAGAGGGCGGUGGAACUCCAUGUGUAGCGGUAAAAUGCGUAGAUAUAUGGAAGAAUACCGUUAGCGAAGGCGGCAAUCUGGCUGGAAACUGACGCUGAGGUGCGAAAGCGUGGGUAGCAAACAGGAUUAGAUACCCCAGUAGUC